UGGCUAUUAUAAUAGAAACUGUGGUGCUUGGAUAUUGUAUUCAUGCAUAAUUAUGCAUAAUUCCAUAUAUUCUCUUCACUACAGUAGGAUUCAGAUUAUUACUAGAAAUUCCUUCCUUCUAUGAUCCCCUUACUUGCAGUUUGCUAUAUCAGCUCGCUUGGUACCAUGCAUGAUACUUACCCUCUCAUUAGUUUUCCCAGCUCUUCAUUAGUUUUUCUAAGUCUCUUUGUAUUGAUAAUAUACAAUUUGACACAGAUCAGAACUAUCAAUUCAUCUACUUGGGAACUUCUUGGCCUCUACAAGCAUAGGAUCUAUAACACCAUAUGAAGACACUUAAAGUAGCAAGCUUAUUGUAACUUAUCUACACUUGGAAGUUGCUGAUUUGUUGUCCCACGAGACUGAGAAUCAAUCGCAUGUAAUAGGGCUCUUCCUUACUAUUUGGUUAUCCUCUCUUGUUUACUGGUAUGCAAAAUUUUCCACUCAACAUGUUCCCUCUUUAAUAGUAGUCACCUAUGGGUCUUAGCCAGUCAAAUAACCCACUAUUCACUAUUCCUCCUACAGCAAUCAUAGUAAUUUGUAGUUCUGUUACUUUGUGUUAUAGAGUUGAGAGUUAUAUAUCCAUGCUGGAAGUCUGUCCCCUCACUUACAAUAGCUAGGUUGAUUCUGUUGAGGGCCAUUGGUUCUACAUGUUCUAUUCCUUAGCUUUUACAAACAAGGGAUUUACUCGAUCAUCAGAAUAAGGCUGUAAUGGGAACAAGUUGAUGGCACCUCAUCUAUCUCAUCAACAAUUCAGUGCUGCUAACUUGUGAGCCCAUGAAGCUGGAAAUCCUUUAUAGGUAGCAGAUGUUUUAUUUGACAAUUGGUCUCUC
rnacentral:lncRNA from 1 species